rnacentral:rRNA from 1 species
GACGAACGCUGGCGGCGUGCCUAAUACAUGCAAGUCGUGCGGACCUUGUUGAAAGCUUGCUUUUAAAAGGUUAGCGGCGGACGGGUGAGUAACACGUGGGCAACCUGCCUGUAAGACUGGGAUAACGCCGGGAAACCGGGGCUAAUACCAGAUCGUUUUUUCCUCCGCAUGGAGGAAAAAGGAAAGGCGGCUUCGGCUGCCACUUACAGAUGGGCCCGCGGCGCAUUAGCUAGUUGGCGGGGUAAUGGCCCACCAAGGCAACGAUGCGUAGCCGACCUGAGAGGGUGAUCGGCCACAUUGGGACUGAGACACGGCCCAAACUCCUACGGGAGGCAGCAGUAGGGAAUCUUCCGCAAUGGACGAAAGUCUGACGGAGCAACGCCGCGUGAGUGAAGAAGGCCUUCGGGUCGGAAAACUCUGUUGCCGGGGAAGAACAAGUGCCGUUCGAACAGGGCGGCGCCUUGACGGUACCCGGCCAGAAAGCCACGGCUAACUACGUG